rnacentral:tRNA from 1 species
GGUCCGAUGGCCGAGGGGUUAGGCAAAGGUCUGCAAAACCUUGUACAGCGGUUCAACUCCGCUUCGGACCUCAA